CGUCGUGAAAAGGGAAACAACCCAGACCCACAGCUAAGGUCCCAAAUUCACUGCUAAGUGGAAAACGAUGUGGAAAGGCAUAGACAGCCAGGAGGUUGGCUUAGAAGCAGCCACCCUUUAAAGAAAGCGUAAUAGCUCACUGGUCGAGUCGGUCUGCGCGGAAGAUUUAACGGGGCUAAGCAGUGAACCGAAGCUUGGGGUGCAUAAAACUUGUUUUAUGCGCGGUAGAGGAGCGUUCCGUAAGCCUGCGAAGGUGGAUUGAGAAGUCUGCUGGAGGUAUCGGAAGUGCGAAUGCUGACAUGAGUAACGAUAAUGCGGGUGAAAAGCCCGCACGCCGAAAGCCCAAGGUUUCCUUGCGCAACGUUAAUCGACGCAGGGUUAGUCGGUCCCUAAGGCGAGGGCGAAAGCCGUAGUCGAUGGGAAGCAGGUUAAUAUUCCUGCACCUCGCGUGAGUGCGAUGGAGGGACGGAGAAGGUUAGGUGUACCGGGCGUUGGUUGUCCCGGGGAAAGGCGGUAGGUUUGGAUCUUUGGCAAAUCCGGGAUCCUUUAAGACCGAGCACCGAGACGAGCCUUUAUGGCGAAGUCACUGAUACCACGCUUCCAGGAAAAGCUCCUAAGCUUCAGCUCACGAAGACCGUACCGUAAACCGACACAGGUGGGUAGGAUGAGAAUUCUCAGGCGCUUGAGAGAACUCGGGUGAAGGAACUAGGCAACAUGGCACCGUAACUUCGGGAGAAGGUGCACCCUUUUUGGUGGCUCGUGCGAGCUAUAGCUGAAGAGGGUCGCAGAAACCAGGCCGCUGCGACUGUUUAUCAAAAACACAGCACUCUGCAAACACGAAAGUGGACGUAUAGGGUGUGACGCCUGCCCGGUGCUGGAAGGUUAAUUGAUGGGGUCAGCCGCAAGGCGAAGCUCUUGAUCGAAGCCCCAGUAAACGGCGGCCGUAACUAUAACGGUCCUAAGGUAGCGAAAUUCCUUGUCGGGUAAGUUCCGACCUGCACGAAUGGCGUAACGACAGCGGCGCUGUCUCCACCCGAGACUCAGUGAAAUUGAAAUCGCUGUGAAGAUGCAGCGUUCCCGUGGCAAGACGGAAAGACCCGUGAACCUUUUACUAUAGCUUUACACUGAACGUUGAGUUCGUCUGUGUAGGAUAGGUGGGAGGCUAUGAAACUGUGGCGCUAGCUGCAGUGGAGCCAUCCUUGAAAUACCACCCUGUCGUGCUUGACGUUCUAACCUAGGUCCGUUAUCCGGAUCAGGGACCGUGUAUGGUGGGUAGUUUGACUGGGGCGGUCUCCUCCUAAAGAGUAACGGAGGAGCACGAAGGUACGCUCAGCGCGGUCGGACAUCGCGCACUGUGUGCAAAGGCAUAAGCGUGCUUGACUGCAAGAUCGACGGAUCAAGCAGGUACGAAAGUAGGUCUUAGUGAUCCGGUGGUUCUGUAUGGAAGGGCCAUCGCUCAACGGAUAAAAGGUACUCCGGGGAUAACAGGCUGAUACCGCCCAAGAGUUCAUAUCGACGGCGGUGUUUGGCACCUCGAUGUCGGCUCAUCACAUCCUGGGGCUGUAGUCGGUCCCAAGGGUAUGGCUGUUCGCCAUUUAAAGUGGUACGCGAGCUGGGUUCAGAACGUCGUGAGACAGUUCGGUCCCUAUCUGCCAUGGGCGUUGGAAGUUUGAGAGGGGCUGCUCCUAGUACGAGAGGACCGGAGUGGACGAACCUCUGGUGUUCCGGUUGUCACGCCAGUGGCAUUGCCGGGUAGCUAUGUUCGGAAGCGAUAACCGCUGAAAGCAUCUAAGCGGGAAGCGCGCCUCAAGAUGAGACUUCCCGGGGCACAAGCCCCCUAAAGGAACCAUGUAGACUACGUGGUUGAUAGGUCAGGUGUGUAAGUACAGCAAUGUAUUGAGCUAACUGAUACUAAUGAUCCGUGCGGCUUGACCAUAUAACCUCA
rnacentral:rRNA from 1 species